rnacentral:tRNA from 1 species
UCCUCGGUAGCUCAGUCGGUAGAGCACCUGACUGUUAAUCAGGGAGUCACUGGUUCGAGUCCAGUCCGGGGAGCCA